UAUUAAUAGCAGCACCACCCACGGCUCGGGCUGCUUGGGAAAACACCUCUCCCCAGCGGCAGUAGCCUGGCCCCCCAGAACGCAACAAGACGCCAGAGCCCGCAGGACACCCUGCCCCAUCACACGCAUAGCAUUUCUUUCCUGCCGGGAGAGGUGUUUUCCAGGAUGACAAUGCCCCCACCCACAGAUCAUGGAGUCUUAUCUGUACCUUUUCCUGGAGGAAAGCGGCAACGGCGCAGGAAGAGAGGCAAACACCACAAGAGCUCCGGAGGAACUACACGAACACCUAAGCAGACAUGAAAACUCAUACCCUGAAGGUGCAUUCAUCGCAGUGGGGGACUUCAAUAGCACAAACCUGAAGAAAAUCGUGCCAAACCUGCAUCAGCAUAUAAACUGCCGACGCGUGGAACAAACAUGUUGAACAAUGUUUACACUCCCUUCCGGGAUAGCUACAAAGCCCUCCCCCGUCCUUUUGGCAAAUCCGAUCACACCUCCAUCCUGCUACUCCCUGCCUAUAGGCAGAAACUCAAGCAGGAGAAGUCUGCAACAAGGACCAACCAGCACCAGUCAGAAUAAUCGGACUCUAUUCUAAAUCACUGCUCUGCCACCACUGACUGCUGGGAACGACAUUAAUCUAUAUGCGGACUAUGCUACUAGUUAUAAAGAAGAUGUGGUCCCCAUGAUUACUUGCACAUACCCAAAUCAAAAACUGUGGGUAAAUGGUUAAGUAAGAGCUAAACUCGGAGCUAGAACACCUGCCUUAAACUCUGGAGAUAAGGACAUGUACAGAAAAUCCAGAUCUGAUCUCAGAAAGCUAUAAAAAAAAGCAAAUAUAACUACAGGGUAAAACUGGAAUCACACUAUUAUGACGACCAGGACACUCACCAGGGGGAACACCCACUGUCUGUCUCCAGAGCUGAUGUGUACAAAGUCUUUAAAAAGACUAAUUCACGCAAGGUCCCUCUUGCUUCAAGAAAACCACCAUCGUCCCGAUCCCCAAGUAAACCAGAGUCAACUUCCUAAAUGACUUCUGCCGCAUUGCACUAACAUUCAUCAUGAAAUGCUUCAAGCAGCUGAUCAAAGAACACAUCACCUCCUUACUGCCUGACACCUUAGACCCAAUGCAAUUUUCAUACCGAGAAAACAGAUCAACUGAGAAUGCCAUCACCACUGCUCUACACACUACCCUCUCACACCAAGACAAGAAAGAAACAUACUGUAUGUGAGAAUAUUGUUUGUUGAUUACAGCUCAGCAUUCAACACCAUCAUACCCUCAAGGCUUAUCACCAAGCUCCAAGACCGUGGACUAAGCUCCCCUCUCUGCAAUUGGAUCCUGGACUUUUUGAUAUGCCGACCGCAGGUGGAGAGAGUAAGCACAAAUACAUCCUCCACCCUGACUCUGAACAUCGGUCCCCUGCAGGGCUGUGUACUCAGCCCUCUCCUGUACUCCCUAUUCACCCACGACUGUCGCCAGGAACAAAACAAACUCAAUCAUCAAGUUUGCAGACUAUACAAUGAUCAUCGGCUUGAUCACAAACGGUGAUGAGUCCACAUACAGGGAGGAGGUAGACGCUGACAGCAUGGUGUCAGGACAACAGCCUCUCUCUGAACACCAGCAAAACUAAGGAGUUGAUCGUGGACUACAGGAACAGACCACGCACCCAUUCACAUCAGCGGGUCCGCAGUGGAGAGAGUCAACAGUUUCAAAUUCCUAGGUGUCAACAUCACAGACAAUCUAACCUGUACCCACCACACCAACCUCGUAGCCAAGACAGCACGGCAGUGCCCAUUCUUUCUCCGUAGACUAAGGAAGUUCGGCAGAAUUAUGAAACUGCAAAAUUUACUUUAAGCAGCAACAUAUUACAAGGAAAAUAGAGUUUCUGUGCCGAAUGCUUUCAAAACCAGUUAUUAGAUCUACAGCAAACAAUUGGAACAAGCUGUGGACCAUACAAUAUUUUAAAUCUUGCAACACACUUUUACUAGUGUUAUAAAAGGGAAAAGCAUAGUCUAAAUGCACACUUAACUCAGUGUUUUGAAAAAAAAUAUAUCACUGAAUUGUUUUAUUAAGCAAGCUGACAUUAGAGAACAUGUGGAACAUGUGUAAAUAUAACAUUUUCACAAAGACAAUUCUAACAUUAAAUUAAUCUUCAAGCACCCAAAAGAAAAUCUGAACUUAUUUGACAUUAUCAUCACCAAUGGCUUUUCUGCUAUUCAGAAUGUGCACCAACUCUUCCUCCCCAUUAAUAUGUGAUAGCCAACAUCAAAAAGAAAACUGUUGAUAAAAAACAGAAUUGCCAUAGAUGGGACAAGACAAUGCACUUCACCGAGCUCACAGGCUCAUUGUACUGGAAACAAACCUCUUACAUUGUGCAUGUCUGAAAAGUCAAAUCUAGAAUGUUGUCUGGUAACACCAGAAUGCUGUGCUGGUUUUGUUCCUGUGUAGAACAGGACUGAAUAUCCAUACUGAUAAACCCCCCAAACAAUAAGGCCUGACAGGUGUAUGGAAAGGUGGGAGAAAUGAAAAGCACCUAAGUGUUACUAAGCUUCAGUGUUCCACACUUACAUUUUGAACACAUUUAAACUAAGUUAAGUCCUGUUCCAGUUCUUAGUGAAACUGUUGCAAAUUUUGAAACAAGAUUCAUAGUUCCAAGUCAUAUCUUUACAGAGUCACAUUAUUUUGCCUUUUGAUAAUUAAGAGUCCUCCACUUGCCCUGCCACUACACUUUGGUUAUAUCUAGCACUAGUUGAACUAGAAAGCUGCCAAUAAAUGUUUUCUGCUGCUGUAACAUCUUUGGACACUGUUCCCAAAUCACAAGUACACCUUUUAAAACUUUAAUGAUUUAUAGAAAGUAUCCAGAGUUCAGAUGGAACAUUUUCUGAAAGAGGAUAAAAAAAACAAAUGAAAAGCAUAAACAACAGUAUAAGAGGUAUGAAAUGGGAAACCCAGGGAUUAUACCAAAACUACAAUCCUAAUUGUAAAGCAGCAAAUAAUUGUUCUUUCCUAAAGACAAGAGGCACUGUUUGGCAAUAAAGAAAAGCCAUGUCCCUGCCACAUGUUCAGUUUAUUUUUUCAUCUGGCUGCAAAAUGAACCAGGCUUCAUUUGUGCGUCUCCGAACAACAUGUGGGCUAUUGGUUUGGACACUCGGACUUCACUACUGGUCCAAGCACAAGGAACUUGAUCUCCAGCUGGAACGCAGAAACAUGAUCUUUUAAUCUCUUCUGACUUGUAAACUCAACAGUUCACCUCACGGCAGCCUUCCACCCCACACAGCACU